CCGCCCGUAGCUCAGCUGGAUAGAGCGUUGCCCUCCGGAGGCAAAGGUCUCAGGUUCGAAUCCUGACGGGCGGGCCA
rnacentral:tRNA from 6 species